rnacentral:rRNA from 1 species
AUGGCAUGGGGACGGCUUCCUAUUCCAGCUUGUCAAGCGCGCCAUUGCAGCACCCCCACGGCGCGGUUCCAGCUCGCCACUGAGACCGUUGCAACAUCUCUAUCUCGGCGUUCCAGUUCGCCGCUGCCACAGGCGCAGCUCGCCGCGGCCGCGCGCGUAUCUUGCCGCAGCAACGGGCACGGCUCGCCGACGUUGUGUUUUCCUUCGUCAAAGGGGAAAGAGGAGGUGGUGGUGGCUGCGGCCGUAGCAGGCAGAAGAAGAAAAAAAGGGCGGCAGCCAUGGCCGGCCGGAACCGCCUAUCGCCGGUGGCAGAGGGCAAGCAUAGAUGAAGGAAGUGGGGCGGGAGGGUGGGAGCGGAGCACGCGUGCCGACGAGAUGGUGUUCGUGGCGAGAAAGAACGAGUGGAUCUCAUUUGUCCCGAAGAGAUAA